UCCAGUGACUUUGACACAAGAUUUCAGAAUAAAUCUCAGAUUGCUGUCAAGUCUGUAGUGGAGGCCUUGGAGAUAAGAAUUUUCUUGAGUUCUCUGAAAAUAUGGAGCCCUGGAGUGCUGGGACCAUAGUCUUCUAUAGAAGGUAAUCAGGAAUAGUCCCUUACUUUCAAACUGGUUUAAGACCUUUCUCCUUUCAAAAACAUUGGUAUUUUUUUCUGCUCAGGAUGAUUAGGACUUAGAGUUACUCAUUUGACCAAAUGGUCUCUCAGAACCAUCCCUUUUGCUUGGGGCCCAUGGAAUAUUUUACCUCAGACCAUGGAGCAUUGAUCCCUCUGUUGAAGGUUCACUGAAAUCCAAAAGGAGGGAGCAAAUCCUGGAAUCUCAUGCUACUUCCUUGUGUAAGGUCACAUGAUAUGUUGUGAAGUCAUCAGUCUGGUGCUCAUUUCUUUUUGGUUGAAUAUAGUUUUUAGGAGGCAAUCAGGCUUAGGACACCCCCAACUUUUCUUGAAUCAUGGAAUCUAUAUUCAGUCUCUUGCAGAUUCAGCUAAAGAUGUGUAUAUGCUAGACUGUGAAGUACCAUUAGAAGAUGAAGCAAUGUAGGACCUCUUGAGCUAUUUUCAAGGUAAACUGGAGGUUCACUUGGGAUGCAAUGAAGAGCCCCUGACAAGCAUAUUCUUCAAAGCCUCCCAUGGUGUAACUGAAGAUACGAUAUGUGAAGUAGCCCUAGCUUGCCUGCUCAAGGAGGGACAUCAGAAUGAUACCUUUUGCUCCAGUUGUUCUCAAAUUCACAUCUUCUGUCCAUGGGGUCUGUAAUGUCACCGUUUCAUAGAAGAACUUCAGUGUCUCUCCUUUCCCUAUGGGAGCAUCAACACUCCACAUCUACUCACAAGUAUUUCACCUUUUUUCUCUGUAUAGUGGACAAGAGCACUUUCACCAAAGGCCCACAUUGGCCUGAAAUAUCUUCUUUUGCCCAAGGCGUACUCAUGCCUGCACUCUCUUGUGGCCAUCAUUAGCACUUCUUCUCUUGAUUUUGUGAGCCUGCUAUAUCCCAACUGUUUAGGAUUACAUACAAACUUAUUUCUGCUACAUGUAUUCUGAGACAUUCCUCCAUGGAAGGAAGGGGUGUUGAUCUUUUCUUGUCUGAAAAAAAGUCUUCAAAGCCCAAAGACAACUGCUGGAAUGAAAUGCAACCUAUAGGACUGAUGGAAGAAUUGCUACCUGGACUUUCAAAUGCCAUGAAAAUAUAUGGACAUUCUAAAUACUGAUAAAGAAUAGGAAGCUGAUCAAGCAAUACUGGAUCUUCCUCUGCUCCACGAGAGGUGUCCUUUCACAUGCAGAGGAAUGUGUAGAUGGACAUAUAUUUGAAUAAGAUACUGAACCUAAGACUACUGCAUUAGAGCCUCGUACAAGACUUCUAAGACUGUUGACUGCCUACCAUGGAUAUUCAGGCAUCUGCAGAUACAUCCCUUUGAAAAAUGAAUCCUUCUCACUAGAGACCAUAGAGAGAACCUGCAUUUCAAUGAUAAUUAAAUGUCAUUUCAAGACAUCAAAUCAAAAUAUCAAAGUGAGAAUGGAAUAAAUUUAUUAGGACAGUGUUUUGCGAACAACUUCUUUCACAAACAGCCUUGGAAGGAGAGUUCUGAAAUUUUGCAUUUUAUAUUUGACUUUGCUCGUACUCUGACACAAUCAACUCAGAGCUGUUUGGGACUUUAUGGGCAAUUAAACACGACAAACAGAGCUGAAUGCAUCAUAUACUCUGUCGUCUGUGUUAAUAUGGCUACAGUGAAGAACAACCAUGCUAAAGAUAUUCAUCUGUUUUUCAAACAACAUCCUCAUACAAGUGUGGACUUCUGUGGGUUAUUGUAUGAAUAGGUUAAAACACUGGCUGAGAGUUGCCAAGGCAGAUGUGGGAUGGUACAUGCUUGGGGCAUGAAAGGCCUGUGUGUAGAUCAUAAACAACUUCAUAAUAUUCAUUGCUUUAAUAAUUACUAGGAAGUGGACUUCUGUAAAAUGACUUCAGAAGACAAGCAUGGUAGGCAAACAGUAACUGAUUCCCUGGAGAUUUAAAUGAUCUGGCUUGUGAAACAUGGACUUAGAAGUAGAGACAUGUCAGAACAUGAAGACUGGAAAAUCAAACCUCUGUUGCCUCUUAAGUUUCCCUACCCCAUGGUUUGAGGCAAACAGCAACAGAUU